AUAGCUUCUCGGCCUUUUGGCUAAGAUCAAGUGUAGUAUCAAGUGUAUGAAAAUCAUAAGAGAAAGAAACUGGAAGCACCAAAGCCUAC
rnacentral:snRNA from 1 species